GACGAACGCUGGCGGCGUGCUUAACACAUGCAAGUCGAACGGAAAGGCCCUGCUUUUGUGGGGUGCUCGAGUGGCGAACGGGUGAGUAACACGUGAGUAACCUGCCCUUGACUUUGGGAUAACUUCAGGAAACUGGGGCUAAUACCGGAUAGGAGCUCCUGCUGCAUGGUGGGGGUUGGAAAGUUUCGGCGGUUGGGGAUGGACUCGCGGCUUAUCAGCUUGUUGGUGGGGUAGUGGCUUACCAAGGCUUUGACGGGUAGCCGGCCGGAGAGGGUGACCGGCCACAUUGGGACUGAGAUACGGCCCAGACUCCUACGGGAGGCAGCAGUGGGGAAUAUUGCACAAUGGGCGGAAGCCUGAUGCAGCAACGCCGCGUGCGGGAUGACGGCCUUCGAGUUGUAAACCGCUUUCGCCUGUGACGAAGCGUGAGUGACGGUAAUGGGUAAAGAAGCACCGGCUAACUACGUG
rnacentral:rRNA from 1 species